rnacentral:rRNA from 1 species
GACGUAGGGCGCGAGCGUUGUCCGGAUUUAUUGGGCGUAAAGAGCUCGUAGGCGGCUUGUCGCGUCGUCCGUGAAAACCAGGGGCUCAACCCCUGGCUUGCGGUCGAUACGGGCAGGCUAGAGUUCGGUAGGGGAGACUGGAAUUCCUGGUGUAGCGGUGAAAUGCGCAGAUAUCAGGAGGAACACCGGUGGCGAAGGCGGGUCUUUGGGCCGAUACUGACGCUGAGGAGCGAAAGCGUGGGGAGCGAACAGG